rnacentral:lncRNA from 1 species
GGCAACCAUGGCGGGGUUGGAGGUGCGGUAUUGACCUUUUCCAAGACGGGGCCCCUUGCUUGGGAACGCUAGCUGGCUACUUGUAGUGUUCCUUCAGUCGACAUCACGUUCCACUAUACUGAUGUGAUGAGGACGGAAAUGUAGCGCGCAUCCACCCGAAACGGACACAGCAUCACAAUCCUUUCGCAUCUCCCGAAAGACGAGGAUGCAGGCCUAUCACAGCAUCCAGUCCUAUUCUCGUUAGGGAAUUGAUAGGAUGUCUGAUUUAAAGCUGAUUUUAACAUGAUAGGGUUUGAGUCUAUGUGAUGUUGCAUCUCGAGGUUAGAUUAUGUCUUGUCUGCAAUAUGAUUUGCAAUGACUUUUUAACGCUUCUCUCACGUUUAUUGCAGCGUUACUUGUGUUACAUUUUUUCAUCAACUUAUAUAUUAUUAUUCAUGUUACUAUUACUCAACUUUUUACUUGAUGAUAAAACUAUCUUAGUUGUUAGAUAUUUAUAAAAUAAUGUAUUUAUUCAUCUAUCUAUUAACAGAUGUAAUAUAUCUAUUUACCUACUUGUU